rnacentral:rRNA from 1 species
GUCUACAGCCAUGCUACCCUGAACACGCCCAAUACCAUCUGAUCUUGGAAGCUAAACAGGGUCUGGCCUGAUUAGUACUUAGAUAGGAGACCACCUAGGAAGACCAAUUGCUGUAAAGU